rnacentral:rRNA from 1 species
GCCAGAAUUAGAGUGUUCAAAGCAGGCAGAUCCAACUUUCUGCCACCGAAUACAUUAGCAUGGGAUAAUGGAAUAGGACCCUGUCCUCCUGACUUUCAGUUGGUUUGCCGCGAGGACCAGGGUAAUGAUUAAUAGGGAUAGUUGGGGGCAUUAAUAUUUAAUGAGGUGAAAUUCUUGGAUUUAUGAAAGAUUAACUUCUGCGAAAGCAUCUGCCAAGGAUGUCAUUAAUCAAGAACGAAAGUUAGGGGAUCGAAGACGAUCAGAUACCGUCGUAGUCUUAACCAUAAACGAUGCCGACCAGCGAUUAGGAGACGUUGAAUACAAAACACCACCAUGCGCAUUGCGGUCGUCUUUGGUGUCGCUCACAAGGCGGCACCGGGGCGGCUUAGCUCGCAUGGCACCGGUGAAUGACUCCCUAGCAGCCUUCGGCU